AGGGUUUGAUCAUGGCUCAGGACGAACGCUGGCGGUGCGCCUUAUGCAUGCAAGUCGAGCGAAGCUUUUCAGUAGUUUACUACAGAAAAUGACUGAGCGGCGAACGGGUGAGUAACGCGUGAGCAAUCUACCUUAGUUACAGGGAUAGCCCGAGGAAACUCGGAUUAAUACCUGAUAUUCUUUAUUUCUCGCAUGAGAAUAAAAGGAAAGGUCAGCCGAACUAAGAUGAGCUCGCGUUCUAUCAGCUAGUUGGUGAGGUAAAAGCUUACCAAGGCUACGACGGAUAGCUGGUCUGAGAGGACGAUCAGCCACACUGGGACUGAGACACGGCCCAGACUCCUACGGGAGGCUGCAGCAGGGAAUAUUGUGCAAUGAACGAAAGUUUGACACAGCGACACCGCGUGUGGGAUGACGGAUCUAGGUUUGUAAACCACUUUCAGGAGGGAAGAAAAUGACGGUACCUCCACAAGAAGCCCCGGCCAACUACGUGCCAGCCGCCGCGGUAAUUC
rnacentral:rRNA from 1 species